UUCCUGGUGGCUCAGAUGGUAAAGCAUCUGCCUGCAGUGCAGGAGACCCAGGUUUCGAUCCCUGAAUAGGGAA
rnacentral:tRNA from 1 species